CUACGGGGGGCAGCAGUGGGGGAUAUUGCACAAUGGGCGAAAGCCUGAUGCAGCAACGCCGCGUGAAGGAAGACGGAUUUCGGUCUGUAAACUUCUAUCAGCUGGGAAGAUAAUGACGGUACCAGACUAAGAAGCCCCGGCUAACUACGUGCCAGCAGCCGCGGUAAUACGUAGGGGGCAAGCGUUAUCCGGAUUUACUGGGUGUAAAGGGUACGUAGGCGGUUUGUUAAGUCAGAUGUGAAAAUCCGGGGCUCAACCUCGGAACUGCAUUUGAAACUGGCAAACUAGAGUGCAGGAGAGGAAAGCGGAAUUCCUAGUGUAGCGGUGAAAUGCGUAGAUAUUAGGAAGAACACCAGUGGCGAAGGCGGCUUUCUGGACUGUAACUGACGCUGAGGUACGAAAGCGUGGGGAGCGAACAGGAUUAGAUACCCCUGUAGUC
rnacentral:rRNA from 1 species